CAGAGCCGCGGUAAUACGUAGGGUGCAAGCGUUAAUCGGAAUUACUGGGCGUAAAGCGUGCGCAGGCGGUUUGUUAAGACAGAUGUGAAAUCCCCGGGCUCAACCUGGGAACUGCAUUUGUGACUGGCAAGCUAGAGUGUGGCAGAGGGGGGUGGAAUUCCGCGUGUAGCAGUGAAAUGCGUAGAUAUGCGGAGGAACACCGAUGGCGAAGGCAGCCCCCUGGGCCAAUACUGACGCUCAUGCACGAAAGCGUGGGGAGCAAACAGGAUUAGAUACCCCUGUAGUCCCUGUCUCUUAUACA
rnacentral:rRNA from 1 species